UUGAAUGCUUGAACCCCUUUUGCUCCUCGGCACUCCUGGAGAAGGACAAAGGGAGAACUCCGGCAUUGCUGAGCUUUCUCACAUCUCCCAAACCACUAUGGAAGAGAUCUCAACGCUUGCUGUAUACCAAGCAGGCCCAAUGCCAGAAGAACAUUAUUAACUACAAAUUAAUUUUUUCAAGAAUUCAGCAUCACAACCAAAUCAUCUUUGCUUUUCUCGGUCCCAUUUCUAGUAAACUGGAGAUCAAGGUCCAUAUCGGAAGAAGAAAAGAAGCCCUCCCGUUCAUUAAAAAAAGGGCUCUGCAAUGAUUCCUCAACUCUGGUCUCAAAUUUUCCCCUAGAAGACUCCCUCCUUCACAUACCAAUGUCGACAACAUCCCGCAUGUAUAAACACAGCGCGCACACACACACAGAGACAAUAAAACAGUACCAACAGAUUGGAAUAUAAAGAAUGAAUUUGUCCCGUCCCUCAACAUUUCAAACCGGAUCAACUGCUAAGCUACAAGAGGUAACAAAUACUAAGCUAUAAAAUGGCAGUACAAUCCCCCUUAAUGAGUGAAGUCUGAAGACUGUUUGGUAGCGGCUUCUACAAUCAAUACCAACCCCCAACACUACAGCCCGAAACCUCCAAUUCAAACCCCUCAAUAUACAGAUUUCUUAAGCCUGUGACCAGAUCUCCACUAAAAAAAAAAGAGUACGUGUCAAGACCAAUGAAUGUGUGUCAAAAUACCUCGGUAUUAAUAAUAUUUGAUUCGCCUUUCCUGGAUGUGAUUCUCCUUCAGUUCUUACACCAUCACUUGCACUGAUUUGACUGGGUAUUCAAGUCAUCCAGAAGACUAGUUAUGGAC